rnacentral:misc_RNA from 1 species
AAAUGCGAUAAUUAAUGUGAAUUGCAGAAUUCAGUGAAUCAUCGAGUCUUUGAACGCACAUUGCGCCCCCUGGUAUUCCGGGGGGCAUGCCUGUCCGAGCGUCAUUGCUGCCCUCAAGCACGGCUUGUGUGUUGGGCUUCCGUCCCUGGCAACGGGGACGGGCCCAAAAGGCAGUGGCGGCACCAUGUCUGGUCCUCGAGCGUAUGGGGCUUUGUCACCCGCUCCCGUAGGUCCAGCUGGCAGCUAGCCUCGCAACCAAUCUUUUUAACCAGGUUGACCCCGGAUCAGGUAGGGAUACCCGCUGAACUUAAGC